UAGGGAAUAUUGGACAAUGGUUGAGAGACUGAUCCAGCCAUGCCGCGUGCAGGAAGAAGGCCUUCUGGGUCGUAAACUGCUUUUAUCAGGGGAUAAAAGAUCCCUGCGGGGAGAAUUGAAGGUACCUGGUGAAUAAGCCACGGCUAACUACGUGCCAGCAGCCGCGGUAAUACGUAGGUGGCAAGCGUUGUCCGGAUUUAUUGGGUUUAAAGGGUGCGUAGGCGGUUCCAUAAGUCAGUGGUGAAAUACGGCAGCUCAACUGUCGAGGUGCCAUUGAUACUGCGGAACUUGAGUACUGAUGAGGUAGGCGGAAUUGACGGUGUAGCGGUGAAAUGCUUAGAUAUCGUCAAGAACACCGAUAGCGAAGGCAGCUUACUAAGGAGUAACUGACGCUGAGGCA
rnacentral:rRNA from 1 species